rnacentral:lncRNA from 1 species
AUGGACGAGGUCAGACAGCCCAAGUGUAUCCAAGACUACAACACACACAUGGGAGGAGUGGACCUGCAUGACCAGUUUGUCAGCCGCUACAGAGUCAACAUCCAUUCCAAGAAGUGGUGGUGGCCAUGCUUCAGCUGGGCCCUGAACAGUGCCAUGGUGAACAGCUGGUGCUAUUACAGGUCCUGGAAAAGCGGGGAGAAGGAUCUCCUCUCCUUCCAGAGGCUGGUAGCCCAGACCCUCCUCAUGCGCCAUGGAACAAAGCAAAGUAGGCAGGGCAGAAGAUCUUCGAUGCCGGUGGCGAUAACUGAUGCCACCAGGUUUAAUAAUCUCAACCACUGGCCCUACAACACUGGUAGCAGAACCUGGAUCAGGAUUCCUCUGACCACAACUCUGACAAUGGCUCAGAAGACAAACAUGAUGGUGGUGGGAUUACUAACCUGGAUCAGGAUUCUUCUGACCACAACUCUGACAAUGGCUCAGAAGAAGAACAUGAUGGUGGUGGGAUUACUAGCCUGCAAACAGACCCUGGUGAUGAUAUCCUCAGACAUCCUUCCUCCCCACUCUUGUUUGAGGACAGUGUUGAUUUUGAGUUGUUUGAACCACUGUGGCAGUCUUUUACUGACUCUGAAUCCAUUGGCAAUGGAGAAGAAUGUCCCAUGGAAGACAGCACUGACAAGUCAGAAAAUUAAGAAUCACAUUUGGGAGUAGGCGGUAAUGAAAAGUUUCCUUUGGCAAAUGAUAAGCCACUUUACACAGGCUCACAACUAACGAAAGCUCAGAGUUUUUUACUUAUACUUUCAUAUGCUUUGAGACACUCACUUACUGGUGUGGACCUGUCUGAUCUUUUAGAUUUGAUUAAUAUCCACUGUCCGGAAAAUGUUCUAACUUCAAAGCAUCUGCUCUUAAAAGAGCUUAAACCAAUACAAGGUCACCUAGAACGUCACGUAUACUGUCCCAACUGUGAAUAUUACAUCGGCGACCAAGUCACUGAAGGGCAGUGUUCUGUAUGUAACUCUGCAUGGGAUAGAAACAGCUCACUGAAGAAUGGAAAUUUCUUCCUAUACUUACCCAUCCAAACAUAACUGGAACAUCUUCUUCAAAGAGAAGAUAUUGCAUGUUGUCUCAAGUCAGGAAAUGGCACGUGCAAUUCAGAAAAUUAUGUUGACAUAUGUUGUGGUAAAAUGUAUCAUAAUCUGAACAAAGAUGGAGGCCCACUAGAUAGUCCUCAUGCAUUCUCCUUAACAUUAAAUUGUGAUGGACUUCCAUUAUUCAAAUCAUCCCAGUAUGGAAUUUGGCCAUUACAAGGGAUGGUAAAUGAGCUUCCUUAUCAUGUCCGUAAAGAGAAUGUUUUACUUUUUGGCCUUUGGUUUGGUACUAAAAAGCCAAAUGUUAAUACAUUUUUAAAACCAUUCACACAAGAGUGUAAGUCAUUGUCAACUGUUGGCUUCAAGUUACACAGCAACAACAUUGUGAAGCAGUGUAGAGUGAGCUGUUAUGAUGUGUGAUUCAGUUGCCAGACCCAUUCUGCAAAACAUGACCCAAUUUAAUGGUCAUUAUGGGUGCAGCCUCUGUCUACAUCCUGGUGAACAAAUUCCAAAGGGAAAUGGAACUGUUAGGGUUUAUCCAUACAAAGAUGUUCCAAAUAGAGAUCAUGCUUCAACCCUAACUGGUGCAAGGGAGGCUGUGCGUACCACACAAUCUGUGAGGGGCUUUGAGAGAGAAACUUUCAGUCACCACGGAUACAGUUGUAAAAAUAUUCAGUAGAACUUUAGUCAAAGGAGAACUGUAUUACUCAGAGCAGUUCACUAGAGUAAUGAAAAGGAACAGCUUCACUAUUUUGUCGUAUGAUGGACACAUAAUCACUGUGUAUUAUUACAUUGUGGUAGGGAGACUUGAUAACAGAAAAUGUUUUGCUGUUGGAAGACAGUAUGACAAAUCAUACAGUUCAGUGCCAAAUUUAGAAAAUGUAGUUGGCUUGAAAAGAGUGUUACAGGGCAGGAAACAGGUUUUUGAUGUGAUGAAAUUCAACAGGAAAUGUUGGUUGAUCUGCCACAUCAUGCCAACCUUUAUGCAUGUGUACCUCCACGUGUGGAGGACUGAAAUGUUGAGGAUGAAAUGUCAUUUAUGGAAAAAAAAUUUUAAGAUGGAAUGUCAUUUGUGGAAAAAAAUGUUUAAGAUGAAAUGUCAUUUAUGGAAAAAAAUAUUGAAGAUGAAAUGUCAUUUAUGGAAAAAAAAAAUGUGGAAGAUGAAAUGUCAUUUAUGGAAAAAGAUGAAGAUGAAAUGUCAUUUAUGGAAAAAAAUGAAGAUGAAAUGUCAUUUAUGGAAAAAAAAUGUUGAAGAUGAAAUGUCAUUUAUGGAAAAAAAAUUUUGUAGAUGAAAUGUCAUUUAUGGAAAAAAAAGAUGAAGAUGAAAUGUCAUUUAUGGAAAAAAAAUGUUGAAGAUGAAAUGUCAUUUAUGGAAAAAAAAUGUUGAAGAUGAAAUGUCAUUUAUGGAAAAAAAAGAUGAAGAUGAAAUGUCAUUUAUGGAAAAAAAAAUGAUGAAGAUGAAAUGUCAUUUAUGGAAAAAAAAUGUUGAAGAUGAAAUGUCAUUUAUGGAAAAAAAAGAUGAAGAUGAAAUGUCAUUUAUGGAAAAAAAAUGAUGAAGAUGAAAUGUCAUUUGGAG